rnacentral:misc_RNA from 1 species
GAGACAGAGUAAUAGACUUCGGAAAGUACAAGGGCAAGAUGCUUGGCGCCCUCCCCUCAACCUACCUCAAAUGGGUUUCCAAGAACCUUCGUGCGGGCGACUUCGAGCACUGGGCAAAGUUAGCAGACCAAGUUCUUGAAGACCCAGUUUAUCAGGACAGAUUGGAGUGGGAAUUUGCAGAUAGCGUCUUGAAUGGAAACAAAGAUGCCCCUUUUUUUAGAAAGGAUAGUGCAGUUCCUCUGUUGUUGGAGAUAAGUGAGAGGUUUGGUUGGGACAAUGAUGAUAAAGUUGGG